UACGAAGGGGGCUAGCGUUGCUCGGAAUCACUGGGCGUAAAGCGCACGUAGGCGGACUCUUAAGUCGGUGGUGAAAUCCUGGAGCUCAACUCCAGAACUGCCUUCGAUACUGAGAGUCUUGAGUCCGAGAGAGGUGAGUGGAACUGCGAGUGUAGAGGUGAAAUUCGUAGAUAUUCGCAAGAACACCAGUGGCGAAGGCGGCUCACUGGCUCGGUACUGACGCUGAGGUGCGAAAGCGUGGGGAUCAAACAGG
rnacentral:rRNA from 1 species